rnacentral:rRNA from 1 species
GAGCCGGCGGUGCUAUACAUGCAGUUGAGCGCUGAAGGUUGGUACUUGUACCGACUGGAUGAGCAGCGAACGGGUGAGUAACGCGUGGGGAAUCUGCCUUUGAGCGGGGGACAACAUUUGGAAACGAAUGCUAAUACCGCAUAAAAACUUUAAACACAAGUUUUAAGUUUGAAAGAUGCAAUUGCAUCACUCAAAGAUGAUCCCGCGUUGUAUUAGCUAGUUGGUGAGGUAAAGGCUCACCAAGGCGAUGAUACAUAGCCGACCUGAGAGGGUGAUCGGCCACAUUGGGACUGAGACACGGCCCAAACUCCUACGGGAGGCAGCAGUAGGGAAUCUUCGGCAAUGGACGAAAGUCUGACCGAGCAACGCCGCGUGAGUGAAGAAGGUUUUCGGAUCGUAAAACUCUGUUGGUAGAGAAGAACGUUGGUGAGAGUGGAAAGCUCAUCAAGUGACGGUAACUACCCAGAAAGGGACGGCUAACUACGUGCCAGCAGCCGCGGUAAUACGUAGGUCCCGAGCGUUGUCCGGAUUUAU